rnacentral:lncRNA from 1 species
NNNNNNNNNNNCCGGAGAUGGGCCAGUGCCACAUGGGCCAGGACAGAGGGAUUUGCAGGGACAGCAUGAGGGAUCCACUUUCUCAGGGGUGCACGGUCUGCAGCACUCCCCUAGAGCUCCCUCCUGGGAGCAGGGAAGGGUGCAGGCAGCUGAGAGCAGGAUUUAUUUGUGGAAGGGCAUGCACAGUGCUUCAUCCUCUUUCUGCCCUCAAGAUUACUCUGGCAGUUUGCAGAAAAGCUCCUAAUGAAAGAAUCCUAUUAGCAGAGGGAGCGACGGGGGGAAAGGCUGUGCGCGGUCUGGCUCAGACGCAGGUUGCAGCCUGUGCAUCCUGCCUGUGUCCGGAGAGGCGCCCAGAGCCCCCACACCCUCAGAGAGGAUCACGCAAUCGACUGGGAGCCGCAGCGUGUCCCCAUUGCCCCACAGAGCUGAACCAAGGUGUCAGGGUGGUCAGCAGGGAGGCAGCGCCAUGUCCCUCCAACUCCCAGCACCUCCUUGCCCGAGCGGUUGCUGCCUUUUCCUUCCUGCCUCUGCUCGGGGCACUGUUCCUGGCUGCCCCCCAUGGAGAGCAAUCUUUGCUUGCUCCUCCAUGGCAAGACCCAUGGCUAUGGACCGGUGGAUCGGGGGGUGCCUGGAUGGCAGGACUUCUCCAGCCCUGGCCCUGCUUGCCCCAUGGCUCUGCCCUCACCCCGCGGUCCAGCUCCCCUGCCCAGCCAGGGCACCGAGCCAUGGGCAUCCCUGCUGGCCCCUGCCCGGGGACGCCCUCGCUCCUCAGCUGUCCCUCUGGCUUGGCCUGGCCACUCUCCCAAGGUCUAACAAAGGGGCAUCUGGCUGAAAUUUAAUAGCCUGUGACAUACAGGGGAUCAGGGCAGAUUAGCUAAUUACCCUGGUGGUGUGCAGCCCGCUGACACAUGGGAUCCCGACCCCCUUCUCCUCCCUCAUCCCCACGCCUCUACCCCGGGCAAAGCCAGGGCACCCUAGGACCACUGGCACAGCCGACAUCCCGGGACCCUGCUC